UGCCUCUGUUUACUUUUCUGAAGAGCCUAACAGGUCGCCUCUAAAAAUACCUUGCUCAGUGUCCGAGCUUCUGGGACACGGGGGUGCGUUCCCCACAUGCUCUCUGCAGUUUGUGUCCUAAGCCGGGCAUAUCCAGUUUCCGCAAAGGACUCAGAUCAGAACACAGGGAAGCAGCUGCCAAAUUGUCCAGCCCCGGAGUUCAUUUGAUAACGGAUCCUGGCAGCUUGUUGUUCUGUGACUUUCCAGAGAAAGUACUGAGAUGUUCAGGACCAGCGCCCAUACUUACAGCCAUUUGGCCACAGACAAAUGCACAGAGGAGCUGCUGAGAUGCCAGGAAAUUCCAGAUUGUGCUAGGAAUCUAACGAUGUCACAGAGGGACAGGUUACCCUCGGCUCUGAACUCAUCGUCAUCUGCCUCUCCAACUAUCUUGCCAUGUAUCUUCCAGUUUUUGCCUUUUUUAUUUUCUUUUUCAUUUCUUGAACCCAAGGCCUCGCACAUGCCAAGUAAGCGCUCUGCUGCUGGGCUUUAUGCCAGCCUUGAGUGCAAGCCCCUAGUAAAGCUUUUAAACUGGAUUUAAGGGUUCGUUCUACUUGAGUUUUGUUUUGUUUCUGGCUAGGAUGAAGAUUGCAGUUUAUUCUUUACAAAAUGAUUGUGAAGCAUUCACUGGGUGAAGUGAACAAGGAUGGACUCUUCUAAAAGCAGAGUACCACCAUGCCUGUGCACGCUACCACCACCUCAGCUUCCUCUGCAAACCCCCAUAUCCUCCCCCCCCCCAAGACCAAGCCUCAUCCUGGGGCUCAAUAGCUUAGUAGCAAUUCAAGGCACAACAGAGGGCGAACGCCAUCCUGGAACACUCUAUUUAUGUGGGGAGGCACGUGGGUGUUGAGGUGUGAAUGGAGGUCAGAGGACAACUUUCGGGGGUCUCUUCUCUCCUUCCACCAUGUGGGGCCCGCCGAGCCAUCUGCUUUGAUAAACCCAGUUUCCGUAACUUCUACAGUAUGAAAACACUGAGGUGCCAGGCAGGAGUCUCCAGUCAGACACAGCAGGGCCCUGUCUGUGGCCCUUUGGGGCAUUUGGCUUAUAUGCCACAGCAGUCUCAUCCCUGCUUGAUCUGUUUGUUUUGAACAACAAAUGUUCUCACCAAUCAACUGAGCCCCAGAAGCAGACACACACCUGGUCGUUCUUUGUCUGGGCUUUAUGUAUGAGCUCUUUGUUGAUGUAACCAACUGUCUUAUUAAAUAAGAAACACAGAAACAAUGUAAAAGAGAAAGCCAAGAGGUCAGAGCUCAGAG